rnacentral:lncRNA from 10 species
UAGGGUCUGGCUUCUGUGUGUUGCAACACCGGAGACAAUGAGCUCAUGAGCAACUUGAGUACAGAUAUCAGCCUUAUUCACCUUUGCAUAUGUCCUUCUGCUCCCAUAUACUCAACCAGUGCCCGAUAUACAAACCAAGAGAGAAGAAACAUCAACAUUUCCUGAAAAGUUGAACUUGUAGCUGUACUUGAAGGACUGUGAGAUAACAGAACUAAAUGUUAGAAGCAGCCUGGUUCCCUGAGUCACCACCAGGAGGGCAGCUACCAGGAGAGUCACCCAACCUUCUUCAGGCUGAGAUCAUUUGACUCCCUGACCUUCUUCAACAGAAAAGUCUAUGGGCUGAUUAUACGCUAAGAAUAGAAGUAUUUCCUCUUACUUGUUUUAAAUUUUCCCACUGUUAAUUUCUUUGAGAGCAUACUUGUUCUCAUAUUACAAAACAAUGUUAAAAAAAAUUUUUUUAAAGAAUUUUUACUACUUCUAUAAAAUCUGAAAAUUUUUGCUCUUGUAUCCCAGUGUUUCUGAGAUUGGUCCCUUUCGUUAUCUCACCAUCCAGAGGUCCUAGCCUACAUUUACGUUGGCCUAUAGUUACAUGAUUCAACUUAUAACCUAAGGCCCCUUGCCAGUUGCUCCCUGCACUUCACUUUACUAUUUCCCGAAGCAACUUCUUUGUUUUAGUUGAGGAGGGUUGCUACCUUCCUGUGGCAGUGGUUGCCAAAGUAUUGUUUUAAGAAUCAUUACCAGGCCAUGUAAGGACUUGGUAGAAAAAAUGGUUUUAUAGGUUAGCAGUCUGCUGGUGUGAGGGGUGGAAGAUAUGGUGGAGCCUUGGAAAACUCACUGUCAGGAAAACACAGCUAUACCUCCUAUGCAGACACUUUGCUCAACAGCACUUAGGCACAACUUACCUGCUGUCUAACCCAGAACUCCAUCCAAAUUCCAUUCCACUUAUCCACGUCUGACACUUCUUAAGUUUCUAUAAAGAUUUUUCUAACACUCUUUCUCUGCUGAUCACUGGCUGACAAAAUUCAUUCUAUAAUUCACUCUGAAAUUGACAGCAUUGUCCUAGAUGGAUGGCAUGCUUGGAU